rnacentral:rRNA from 1 species
UACGUAGGGGGCAAGCGUUGUCCGGAAUUAUUGGGCGUAAAGGGUGCGUAGGCGGCCUUUCAAGUUGGAUGUGAAAUCCCCGUGCUUAACAUGGGAAUUGCAUUCAAAACUGGAGGGCUUGAGUGUGGAAGAGGUAAGUGGAAUUCCCAGUGUAGCGGUGAAAUGCGUAGAUAUUGGGAGGAACACCAGUGGCGAAGGCGACUUACUGGGCCACAACUGACGCUGAGGCACGAAAGCGUGGGGAGCAAAC